CCCGGGGUCCUGGGGUCCUGGGGUCCCGGGGUCCCGGGGUCUCGGGGUCCUGGGGUCGCCGUCCCCACCCGGGAUGGGUCGGAACCGUCGCCGCGGGAGGCCGGCGCCCUGGGGGAGCGGCACCGACUCCUCGGCCUCCUGGGACCGCAGUUCAAGGUCAAAGCUGCCCGGCUCAGCCCCGCUUCCCCACCCGCCGGGGCCCAGGGCCCUCACGCGUCACCCGCCCUUCGGCGCCGGGUGGUUGGCCUGACCCGCGGGAACGUCUCCAGCGCGUCCUGACCGCUUCCUCGGUUGCCAGGCACCGGACCAAGCGCUUGCGUUUGAGCUUUAACCCUCAGUCUCGCCGCGACACAAUCCAGGGCCCCCGGGAAGACCAGCACGCACGGAGAGUCGGCUCUGAGCACAGACGCGGGUGGGCAGCGGGACUUGGGAGGAAGGCGCCGUCUCUGCUUCUGCAACACGACAGGUUCCACAUGCACAGUGGCCGAGGGACCAAGGGAAGGGAGAAGAGGCUCCUGGGGCAGCCUGUCACCAAUGAUUGUGACUGUCAGACCCACUGGGCCCGUGUAAACCAGAGGUUCAUGAUGGACUCGCGUGGUCCUGCGUUUCCUGAUCUCGCAACACGCGGCUCUGUGCUUCCCUGCGGGAGGCGGCUACCCGUGCAGC